UACAGAGGGUGCUAGCGUUAAUCGGAUUUACUGGGCGUAAAGCGUGCGUAGGCGGUUUGAUAAGUCGAUUGUGAAAGCCCCGGGCUUAACCUGGGAAUUGCGGUCGAUACUGUCAGACUCGAAAACGGUAGAGGGAGGCGGAACUCCAGGUGUAGCGGUGAAAUGCGUAGAUAUCUGGAAGAACACCGAUGGCGAAGGCAACCUCCUGGGCCUGUUUUGACGCUGAGGCACGAAAGCGUGGGUAG
rnacentral:rRNA from 1 species